CCUGAGAAUGGGGUACGUGCGUCACGCGAGGCGUGCGUCCUCCCGCCCUGUAUCACGGGAGGGGGCUACCGCCUCGCGCUCUCAGGCUGAGGGGAGGCGUAAGUGUCCUUUGAAGCCCCAUCCCCAGGGCCUUAAGGGCUAGGCCCUCAGCUCCUGGAGUCCCCUGGUGAGGGCAGAGGUGCUGUUUCCCAGCCCCCAAUUAUAGCUGGCAACAAGGCCUGAGUCUGCAGCGAGCCUGGUGCGGUAGCUGAGAGAGAGACUGUCCAGUUUGGCCAAUGUAUAUGGCAGAAGGACAACUAUGAUGAGUUUUCCUGGGGUGCAACCUGGAACUGGGGUACCACUGAGCCCUCUGGCUUACCAACCUGGGCUCCAUCUCACUCUGUGAUGAUGUGACAAGCUGAAAACCUCUCCAGGUGGGGUUGUGGCGCUCUGCUGAUUUAAUCUUUCAGGUUUCCUUUCUCCAUCAUCUCCUGCUGCAAUGAUUUCGAUGUCCCUUGCAAAAAGGCCACCUUUGUCUGAGAGCCCUUCCCCCUCCCCCUGUUGAGGAGCUAUUUUGGGAAACAGCAGCUGAGCUGGAGGAUUGUUAAUUGUUUGUCAAACCCUUCCAAACCCGUUAGAUCCCAUGCAGAGAUUAGAGUGCAUAGUCACAUCCUUUCCUCUGCCUCCUUUUUCAUCCCCCUGUGAUCUGGGAGGAAAUGGGGAAUGCCUCUUUUCCAGGCAGGGAGAGAGAGAGACGGAACAUCACACAUUGACACACAGUCACAAACAACAGACAUACUCUAUAGUCAACCACAGCUGCGAGGACAACACUGAGACAUUCACAACAGAGGUGCACGCUAUUUAACCAGUCCAAGUUCAAAGAAAGACCCUGACACACAUCCAGAAACACAGCACAUGCUAAACCAAUCGUGGCACAGGCUAUGAAGCACCGAAACACUCUAAAACCAAUCACAGCCCAGAGAGAAACACCCACACACAUACAUAUUCCCAUUAAUCAAAGCAGAGAGAGACUUCUCACACACAUACAACCACAACCCCAGAGACAGGCAGACAGACAACAAAGCCACACAGGGCUCUGACCUCAAAAGCCACCAUGUGCUUCUGUCUGAAACUUACUGCAUUACAUCAGCCUGGGAAUGAAAGAAAAGCACUGGGACCAAAAUAUUGGCCUUCUUAAAAGGGCAAUCGCAUCCAUAGUUUUAAGGAGGACUGGACUGUUUCCUUGAGUGCUAUUCCCUUCUGCCUUCUUGCCUGGCUUGCAGAUGUCAUAGAGUUGUGGGAAGGGCAUGUUUAUAGUAAACCCCUUUUAUUUUGUGAAGUCUUAAAGUGCAGGACCCAUUUACGAUCAUGACAUAUGCUGAGGUAGAAUUGGGAGAGCCUUUGUGUAGGCUCGAAACAGGGUUUGGCCAAGCACGGGGCAGCUGAGAUUUAAUUCUAUGGAGAUAGGUGACACUGGAAAUAUAAAGGUAUUAGUUAAUGCCUGUUAAAUUUAAGGCUAUAUGAUAGUUGACACUUACAUAGCACUUUCCAUGCAAGGAUCUCACAGCACUUUAUGAGCAGUGAUGAAUUUUGCCUCUCGCUUCUAUGUGACUGGUGAUGUUAUGGCCAUUUUAGAAAUGGAAAUGCAGGCACAGAAGUUAAGACCAACAUUUUCAAAAGUGGCCGCUGACUUAGGAUACCUUAAUUUUUGAGUGUCCAACUUGACACACAAAAUCAGUGCCCACUUUUGAAAAUAUAGUUGUUAGCCCAAGGUCAUGAAACAAAUCUGUGGUAAAACCGAGAAUCUCUGUAUCCCCUGCUCUGAAGCAAUAGAUGGUGCUUUCUCUCCAAAUACCUGUCAGCUUUUCCCAGGAGGGCAGGAUCACUGCUUACUAGCUUCCUCCACUUUUCUGUUGCCCUGCACAUGGCUUGUUGGGCCAUCAGAGGCAAGUUGCUCCUUGUGCUCCUUCCCUUUUUCUCCUUUCCUCUCUUCUCUCCAGUGAGGAAGCCGAUAACAUCUGGUGUCAAAUGAAAUGAGUCAGUAAAGUCAGUGGUAUAAAUAAAUCUCUGGUGUAACUUCUCUGAAGCCAGUCAAAUUAAACCAGGGAUGAAAAUGGCCCUAUACACUAACUGAAAUCAUGUGCUUACCUUGUAUGUGUCCAGGCAAAUCAGCAGCUGCCUUCCAUAGGUGUCAAUGACUAACAAAGCUGCAAGGCAGAGGAGACUUGGGCCCAGAAACUUAAUGUAUAGUGGAAACAUGAAUAGAGAGAGUCCCAAGCUGCAAAGUUCAGGUACACUGAUGAUCAAGAGGGAGCUUAUGCCAAGCCCCUUAUUAAUAGAGUUGAACUUUGGUCCUGGUAAAGGAUCUCAUUUUACUAUUUGUUUCGUAAAAGGAAGGCUUGAGCUCUUUUUCUUGGGAAGUAAAAUGUGUACCCACACAAACUGAUUGCUAAGGCUGAAAGGAACGUGCAGCUGGGCUCCACUUCUGUAGCAAGAUUUCUCCCCAUGUGCACACACCACAUACAGUUUUUAUAGGAGAUGAGUCAGUUCAGUUUGGCAGGUAUCCCACACAAUCAUCUCACUAACCUUCUCCAAAAUCUUGCUUUGUACUUAGCCAUGUGAUAGUUGUAGACAUUUAAAUUUACAUGUGACCAAAAAUUGAUUGAUGGAGUUGCAUGAAGGGGAGGGCUCUUUAUGCAGGGAUUACCACUUUCAUUGCUCACUGAGACAGGAAGUAUCUGUAGGAGCUGCUUCUUAAAAUGUUGGCAGCUUAUCACUGUUGGAUAUGGCUCCAGCUUCAAGGGUUGGGGAAGUUUUAUAUCGAAGCCUUGGCCCUUCUCUAAUCUUGACUCAUCUUAGGGUAUGUCUGCACUGCAAUUAGACACCCAUGGCUGGCCCAUGUCAGCUGGCUCGGGCUAAGGGGCUGUUUAAUUGUUUUGUAGACUUCAGGUUUGCACUGGAGCCUGGGCUGUGAGACCCUGCAGCCCAGCCCCAAAUGUCUGCAAUUAAAAAGCCUCUUAGCCCGAGCCCCGCAAGCCCAGUCACCUGGCCUGGGCCAGCUAUGGCAGGUGUCUAAUUGCAGUGUAGACAUACCCUUAAGGUCUUUUGAGGAAUCACUUGGUGACAAAUGAAA